GCCUGUCCUGUCUGACAUAAUAAUAGUGUUAAUAUCAAUGUCUUCAUCUUCUAUAGGGAUGAGUUUGACUUAUAAAAUAAACAUAAAAAUCAAUUAGAAAAUAGCGAUUCCAUUAAAAUUUAAUGAAUUUGUCAUAAAAUAACAUGAAUGAGAGAUUGUAGAUUGUAUUGAGAUCAAGAGAUAGGUGCCUAACAUGUAAAGUGUUAAACACAGAUAGACUUAACAAAGAGUAAUUAGGGUAGUUAAUUAGGUUUUCUCUUUUCAGCAGGUGAAAUUUUAAAGCUUGCUUUGCCACCAAUGAUGCCUUGAUUGAUGAUGGG
rnacentral:lncRNA from 1 species